CAAUAGCGUAUAUUUAAGUUGUUGCAGUUAAAAAGCUCGUAGUUGAAGUUCAGAGUGAGCUCAGCCGGUCCGCCUCAUGGGUGAGUACUGGUCGACUCUCUCUUGUUUGUGAAUCCCGCCCGGAGUUAAUUCUUCGGGAUGUGGAGUUCACAUCGUUUACCUUGAAAAAUUAGAGUGUUCAAAGCAGGCGUUUGCUUGAAUAUAUUAGCAUGGAAUAAUAAGAUAGGACCUCGGUUCUAUUUUGUUGGUUUCUAGAGCUGAGGUAAUGAUUAAUAGGGAUAGUUGGGGGCAUUCGUAUUUAACUGUCAGAGGUGAAAUUCUUGGAUUUAUGGAAGAUGAACUACUGCGAAAGCAUUUACCAAGGAUGUUUUCAUUAAUCAAGAACGAAAGUUAGGGGAUCGAAGAUGAUUAGAUACCAU
rnacentral:rRNA from 1 species